AGGACGAACGCUGGCGGCGUGCUUAACGACGAUGCAAGUCGAGCGGAAAGGCCCUUCGGGGUACUCGAGCGGCGAACGGGUGAGUAACACGUGAGCAACCUGCCCUUAGCUCCGGGAUAGCUCCGGGAAACCGGAAUUAAUACCGGAUACGACCACGGCCGACAUCUGCUGUGGUGGAAAGGAUUCCGGCUAAGGAUGGGCUCGCGGCCUAUCAGCUAGUUGGUGGAGUAACGGCCCACCAAGGCGACGACGGGUAGCCGGCCUGAGAGGGCGACGGCCACACUGGGACUGAGACACGGCCCAGACUCCUACGGGAGGCAGCAGUGGGAAUAUUGCGCAAUGGGCGAAAGCCUGACGCAGCGACGCCGCGUGGGGGAUGAAGGCCUUCGGGUUGUAAACCCCUUUCAGCAGGGACGAAGCGAAAGUGACGGUACCUGCAGAAGAAGCGCCGGCUAACUACGUGCCAGCAGCCGC
rnacentral:rRNA from 1 species